rnacentral:rRNA from 1 species
UACGAGGGGGGGCGAGCGUUGUUCGGAAUUAUUGGGCGUAAAGGGUGCGUAGGCGGUUUGGUAAGUCUGAUGUGAAAUCUAUGGGCUCAACUCAUAGUCUGCAUCGGAAACUGCCGGGCUUGAGUAUGGGAGAGGUGAGUGGAAUUCCUGGUGUAGCGGUGAAAAUGCGUAGAUAUCAGGAGGAACACCUGUGGCGAAAAGCGGCUCACUGGACCAUAACUGACGCUGAUGCACGAAAGCUAGGGGAGCAAACAGG